CAAGGGGAACAAAUGAACAAAUACAAACUGACUACAAACACCACGGGAGACAGAAAGUGAAAUAAAAGUCCAAGAAAAGGCACAG